CCCUUAGAUGUUCUGGGCCGCACGCGCGCUACACUGAUUCAUUCAACGAGCCUAUCCUUGACCGACAGGUCCGGGUAAUCUUUGAAUCUGCAUCGUGACGGGGAUAGAUUAUUGCAAUUAUUAAUCUUCAACGAGGAAUGCCUAGUAGGCGCAAGUCAUCAGCUUGCGUCGAUUACGUCCCUGCCCUUUGUACACACCGCCCGUCGCUCCUACCGAUUGGGUGUGCUGGUGAAAUGUUCGGAUCGGCCGUUUGUCGCGGUUUCCGCGUCAUGUGGCUGAGAAGUUCAUUAAACCCUCCCACCGAGAGGAAGGAGAAGUCGUAACA
rnacentral:rRNA from 1 species